GAAUAUUGGACAAUGGGCGAAAGCCUGAUCCAGCAAUGCCGCGUGAGUGAUGAAGGCCUUAGGGUUGUAAAGCUCUUUUGCCCGGGAAGAUAAUGACUGUACCGGGAGAAUAAGCCCCGGCUAACUCCGUGCCAGCAGCCGCGGUAAUACGGAGGGGGCUAGCGUUGUUCGGAAUUACUGGGCGUAAAGCGCACGUAGGCGGUUUUGCAAGUUAGAGGUGAAAGCCUGGAGCUCAACUCCAGAACAGCCUUUAAAACUGCAUCACUUGAACACGGGAGAGGUGAGUGGAAUUCCGAGUGUAGAGGUGAAAUUCGUAGAUAUUCGGAAGAACACCAGUGGCGAAGGCGGCUCACUGGACCGUUGUUGACGCUGAGGAGCGAAAGCGUGGGGAGCAAACAG
rnacentral:rRNA from 1 species